rnacentral:rRNA from 1 species
UACGGAGGGGGCUAGCGUUGUUCGGAAUGACUGGGCGUAAAGCGCGCGUAGGCGGAUCAGCAAGUCAGGGGUGAAAUCCCGGGGCUCAACCCUGGAAUGGCCUUUGAGACUGUUGGUCUUGAGUUCGAGAGAGGUGAGUGGAAUUCCGAGUGUAGAGGUGAAAUUCGUAGAUAUUCGGAGGAACACCAGUGGCGAAGGCGGCUCACUGGCUCGACACUGACGCUGAGGUGCGAAAGCGUGGGGAGCAAACAGG